rnacentral:rRNA from 1 species
CUGGCUCAGGACGAACGCUGGCGGCGUGCCUAACACAUGCAAGUCGAACGGAACUGUUUUGAAAGAUUUCUUCGGAAUGAAUUUGAUUUAGUUUAGUGGCGGACGGGUGAGUAACGCGUGAGUAACCUGCCUUCAAGAGGGGGAUAACAUUCUGAAAAGAAUGCUAAUACCGCAUGACAUAUCGGAACCACAUGGUUCUGAUAUCAAAGAUUUUAUCGCUUGAAGAUGGACUCGCGUCCGAUUAGUUAGUUGGUGAGGUAACGGCUCACCAAGACCGCGAUCGGUAGCCGGACUGAGAGGUUGAACGGCCACAUUGGGACUGAGACACGGCCCAGACUCCUACGGGAGGCAGCAGUGGGGGAUAUUGCGCAAUGGGGGCAACCCUGACGCAGCAACGCCGCGUGAAGGAUGAAGGUUUUCGGAUUGUAAACUUCUUUUAUUAAGGACGAAAAAUGACGGUACUUAAUGAAUAAGCUCCGGCUAACUACGUGCCAGCAGCCGCGGUAAUACGUAGGGAGCAAGCGUUGUCCGGAUUUACUGGGUGUAAAGGGUGCGUAGGCGGCUUUGCAAGUCAGAUGUGAAAUCUAUGGGCUCAACCCAUAAACUGCAUUUGAAACUGUAGAGCUUGAGUGAAGUAGAGGCAGGCGGAAUUCCCCGUGUAGCGGUGAAAUGCGUAGAGAUGGGGAGGAACACCAGUGGCGAAGGCGGCCUGCUGGGCUUUAACUGACGCUGAGGCACGAAAGCGUGGGUAGCAAACAGGAUUAGAUACCCUGGUAGUCCACGCUGUAAACGAUGAUUACUAGGUGUGGGGGGUCUGACCCCUUCCGUGCCGGAGUUAACACAAUAAGUAAUCCACCUGGGGAGUACGGCCGCAAGGUUGAAACUCAAAUGAAUUGACGGAAGGGCGAAUUCUGC